rnacentral:tRNA from 1 species
UUAAUAGAAGCCAAAAAAAAGAGGCAUUUUAUUGUUAAUAAAAAUAUUGAAUUCUAUUCCUAUUAAA